AACGGUCGUCGCGCGAGGCGGCCCCGGCCGGUAGCGGCUGCGGUUGCUCCCUGAGGCGGGGCGGGGCUUGGCGGAACGCGGCUAGCGGGACGGAGUCAGCAGACAUUGGGAAAUGUGAGGCAAAAGGAAUGUGAGUGGAUGCAGCUUCAGUUGGUUCUGAUGAUUCUGAUUCAAAGUGUUCAAAACUCUUUGGAAAGUGUUGCAGGAGUCACAGCAUUACUUUCUUCAAACUGAACCUCUGCAAACUCUUCAGGCAUGUCAGGCCUGAGUCUUUUGGUGAAUUAAAUCAUCUUUGAUGAAUCUUGCCUGGCCCAGCUGAGAAGCCUUGAUGAUGACUUAGGCCACUUCUACAAAGCACCAUGGCAGCUCUUUUCUUUUCGAAUGAAAAAUACUAAUUUUUCACAGGAAGCAGGAGAAAGAGGAAGAGACUGCAGUGAUGGAGUUUAGCUAUCCAUCAUGGUGAAACUGUCAGAGGAGCUGAGCAUGGUUCCUUGGCAUGCUUCCUAGAGGAAAGUGUUUCACCAGUCAAAAGCAGAGGCCAGAGACCGCUGUUCCCAGAGAAGAAUGUGCCCCAAACAGAAGAACUGGUCACUUGGGAAGAACCGCCUUCUGGUAGUGGCUCACAGUCCAGAAGAAUUCAGCGAGGCAACUCCACAGUAGCAUGAAACUGGCACUACUCCACCACUUCUCCAGUUGAAGGUCUGGACAGCAGUCAAGACAAAGUUUCAGCCUAUUUACCUGGUAUUUAUGGCAACUCCUCCUGCCAAGAGGUCUGACCCAUCAGGUGACAGGACAAAACAUUUUGUGACACAGCAACACUGACGUGCUGUUUGACCUCAUCUCCCAUCUCUAGGAAUCGAUCAUACAAGUCCAUUAUUUGGCAAGAUGGCUGACCUUGAGACUAUGGGCAGGCAUCUCACGUUCCUGGGCUCCUCUGCCUGGUGUUACUUGAGAGGGAUCAAGAGUUUAGUCCCACUCAGAGACAGUGUGAUGAGUUGAUGAGUCCCCACACUUUGCCCAGAAAAGCAGAAAGGAAAGCAAAAAGCUGCUGUGCUGGCCAGAUUCUGGAACCUUUCCCUACCUGAGAGGUGCAUAUGUAAUAAAAGCCUGAAGAUCACUAGGCAUAGAAACAUGAGAUUAGGAUCAAAGUGGAAGGCAAAACCACCAUAAAAAACUUUUCUGCACUGAGGAACUCCACAGUAAAAGGAGCUGAAGUUGCAGUGUUAAGGGCAGACAGAGGACAACGCUAUGAAAAAGGCAUGACAAGGAGUCCGCUUGACCCUCAGACCCCAUGAUGUCCUGCUUACCUGCCAGAAUCAAGAGAUGAGAAGACCACCAAGGGCUACAAUCCCCUCUGCAGACAAAAAUUUGUGUAAUGGAACAAGCAUAUGCUUCAUUUUCCCCAUCACUCUGGCUUAUGUUGCACAUUCUUUUAUCUUGAAACCAACAAAAACGUCCACCCAAAACAAAUUCUGCACUUAAAUUCCCCACAUUUGCCUCACAAAUUAACAACACUAAGUGUACAAGCAAAUGUUGUUAAAAAAAAACAAUGUGUUCCUUUUUAUUAUGAUGAAUAAAUCUCCUCAUCCUAGGAAGUUUUCACUUUUCCUUAUUUGUAUUUUGGAAUGUGAAAGAAAAAAAAAAAAAAGCAAGCUGUGAGAUCUUUGACUUCAGUUUUACCUCCCAGUCCCAUUCUUUACAGUGUCCCUACUAAAGGGCAAACAGGCCAAGACACACACAGUAACACAGGCAGAUGGACAGCUAGGCACCUACAAAGAUUUGCAGCUGCUACUGCACUUUCACGUGGUACUUUUCUGAGAUAGGCUUUAUUCAAUCAUAGAAUGGCCUGGGUUGAGAAGGACCACAAUGAUCAUCUAGUUUCAACCCCUGUGCUAUGUAUAGAGUCGCCAACCACUAGACCAGGCUGCAGGAAUCUGUGUAUGCAGGCUAUACAUACACACAAAUUUAUCACACAAAUAAACACAACCCCAUUCCUCACCUUCAGACAUCCCUCCUUUCCUCAUUAUGUGGAUGUACCUAGGUACCAUUCCAGUAGAUUCGCUACAGAAGCCAAACUAUGAUCUCAUAUUUUCAGAUCAUCACAGCGAGUGUUUGGAACUUUACAGGAAAUACAGUGCAAUAAAGCAAAAGAUAAAAAUAAUAAUAAAAAAUAUUAAAUACAUAAAUUAAUAAAAACAAAAACAGAAAAAAAAAAUCACUGCCUAACACGGCUGCACCACCUGCAGCUUGCACUCUGACCAUGGCUCUAUGUCUACCAGAGCAUGAGAGGGAAAAGCCCGUGUAUGAUUUUACAUAUGUCUGCACUCUGUCUCAUUUAGUAUUUGAGCACUCUUUGUUCUCUGUCCAGAGGUCUGGAGCCCUUUGCAGACACACCUCAGAGGGGGCUGCCCUCUUCAAGGAAGGUAUGGAAAAAGAAGCAAGUUUCAGCAACCCCCAGCCUGGGGUGACCCAGCCCACCCUGCCCACGCGUCCUCCCUGCUGUGCUUGUUCCGUUUGCCCUUGGAAUGCUAUCACUUAUUAUCACGCUGACUUCUCCAGAUGGGGCAUUUUGGCUAUUGAUCUGAUAAAUAAACAGCCUGCUCGCUCGAUCAAAAUGUUAUUUUGCAUUUCAAUUACUGUUCACUAAUGCAACCUUCAUCCCGCCAAGAGCGCUGCUGGCAAUGACACUCGACCUGGCACAGGCGUUUGCAAGCAAAUUCGGCAGCGCCUGCUGCAAGCACCUAACGGGAUUACCAACCUCCAUUAGACUCAUAGAUGGAGAAGGAGAUGGACAAGCAGUACUGGGCUGAGAGGGGAACAGAUGCAUGCAGAAAAGAAUUUGUGAGAAACCUGGGCGAGAGGUGGGGAUAGGCAGAAGCAGAAAUCCAUUUACAACACAGCUUUGCCAAAUAUUUUGAUGGUGGGAGGUCUCAAAAGCUAACUACAUCCCCUCCAGCCACCUCCCCUGACAGCUCAUAGUAGAUAGACUGAGCUCACUGUGUGUGAGCCAUGCAAGUGUUCAGAGCAAUGGGAAAUGGAAAUCAAUGUCUGGUGAUGAGCCAGCAGUAAGCACUGCAAACCCAUCAGGGCAAACAGGGCCAUUUCUGAGGCAGGUUGUGCAGCCUACGUCCACUCACAUUCAGCUGGAUGAGGGAUGCAGUGUGAAAACCAGAAGGGAAGAAACCCUGUAAGUCCUCGAUGGUUCCUCCAGUAGAGUAGGAAGUACCAAAAAGAGUAAGAAAAGGGUACCCAGAUCUGCUGAUAAGAUACGGAUCUUAAGCAGGUGUUGGUGUCUAUUGAUUCAGCAUUCUGCUUACACCAGGGAAUACUUUGCCAAAUCCCCAAACUGAUUUCACUCAAAGUCCACCAGCACAGCAAGUCAGCAAGUGGCCACCAGCAGUAAGGUCAGGCACAGCUGUUUGGUUAAGAGGCAGCUUUUAGUCCUGAGCUCUUCUAUUCACAUGAUAUGCAUCACGAGAUAGCCUUGCUUUAGCUGUUUCAGCAGCAGACUCCGACUGUAUGAUGCAGAACACACCUUGCCCACCACUUUUUUUCCUCCCCAGAUUUCUAAAUGCAAUUUAACAUAACAUAAGCUGACUCAGCCACUCAGCAUGCAAGUGGUGUUAAGCCCUGUCACCAACCACUGUAUAGCAUGUAGGAAGGUGCUGGAGUUAGCUCCCACAUGACGAAGUAAUACACGGUCAACAAAGUGCAUUUAUUGCUAUUUCAAAAAAUCCUUUGACAAAGAUCUUUCACCAGAGCUCAACUGCCUUCCAUUUCAUUACCAGACAGCAACCAGACUGAAACUGCCAGUCAUCUAUGAGUUAAAAAUAAACAAACCCACAUAACAUCCUAACAUUAUAUAAACGUAAUGCUAAGUAUAACACAAUGAAUGAAAUCAAUGUGAUGCAUAAGGACAGGAUCUAUAACUCCACACACUCACUCACACUUCAUCUGCUUUGUGUGCCCAGCUCCCUCUGCCCUUGGCAAACCAGGCAUGUCCCCAGCCACCUCUCUCUGGCCAGGUCUGAGUGGAUCUCCUUGUUCACAUGCUGCUUUGUAGCUCAAUCUAUUGGAAGAGUCUUAUCUAGGAGUAGAGUCACUGAUCCAUUUUGCACCUAGAUUACAUUUCUCCCCAGCACUAGGCACCAAUGCCCCAAACAGAGCUCAAGGACUCAUGUGUAUGUUAUUGCUCCUAGUCACUGGUUCUGUACUUACAACACAGGACAGUCAGGUAUGAGGUACUGAGUACUCACAGUGCAGCCAAAAAGUCCCAUACUCUAACUCCAAUCUCAACACUAAUAUUGUAGACUUCAACAAGUCACUGCAAAGCUCCAAGAUGCUGCUUCUCCAACUGAAAAGCACAGAUACGGUCCUGAACAACCUCACAGGAACACCAAGAGUGUUAAUCAGCAACUAUACUUGAAAGAAUAGAGCAUAUAGAUGAAAGUGUUAAAUAGGAUGAUGGACAGACGAGCUCCUAUGUUCAAGUGAUGGCCUGAAGAUGAGGGAAAGGCUGUUGAUGUAGUCUACCUAGGCUUCAGCAAAGCCUUUGACUGUAUUUUCCACAGUAUUCUCCUGGAGAAGUUGGCAGCCCAUGGCCCAGACAGGUACACUCUUUGCUGGGUAAAGAACUGGUUGGCUGGUUGGGUUCAGAAACUGGUGGUAAAUGAAGUUAAAUCCAGCUAUUGACUGGUAAUGACUGGUAUUCCCCAGGGGGUGGUAUGGGGGGCUUUUCCUGCUUGAUAUCUUUAUUGUUGACCUGGACAAGGGGAUUGGGUGCAUCCUUAGUAAGUUUGUACUCCACACUGGAAGGAAGUGUUGAUCUGCAUGGCGGUAGGAAGGCCCUACUGAGGAAUCUAGACAGACCAGAUCACUAGGCUGAGGCCAAUGGGAUGAAGCUCAACAAGAGCAAGUGCCUGGUCCUGCACUUUGGUCACAACAACCCCAUGCUCCAGAGUGGCUGGAAGUCUGUGCGGAGGAAACAGACCUGGGGAUAUUGGUCGGUGCUUAGUUAAACAGGAGCCAGAAGUGUGCCUCGGUGGCCAAGAAGGCCAAUGGCGACCUGGCUUGUAUCAGAAAUAGUGCAGUCAGCAGGAGAAGGGAGGUGAUUGUCCCCUGUACUCAGCUCUGUUGAGUACGGUUUUGGGUCCCUCUCUACAAGACAUCGAGGCCCUGGAGUGUGUCCAGGAAAGGGCAAGGAAGCUGGUGAGGGUACUCGAGCACAAGUCUUAUGAGGAGAAGCUUAGGGAUCUGGGACUGUUUAGUUUGGAGAAGAGGGGGCUCCGGGGAGACCUUAUAACUUUCUACAACUGUAGGUGGACAGAUGGACUAGAUGAUCCAAGAGGUCUUUUCCAACCUCGAUGACUCUUUGAUUAGCAGCAUAAUUUGAACAUCUUUCUUCAGCACUGUAGCCCAGAGCUUAGCCUGUGUAAGAAGUGUGAACAGUUAGAGUUUUCUUGCAUGCAAGCUAGACAGAGAGGAAUUAGAUUCACAGAUCUGUAUUAUACAGAUCAAUUCUGACCUCCUCUUGCAUCUGACUCCCCUUUAAACCGAAUCCCCUGUGACCCAGUCUACACAAUAACCUUAUCUCUAAUACUGCCUAAUCCUAUCUCCAGCUCCCUUGGGUGCUAUUUCACACACCAACUGUCUCCUGACCACAUCACCAUACAACCCAUUUUUAUGUUUUCCUUCACAGCUCAACUUUGCUAGAAGUUUUUCCAUCAAGAACUUACUGUGUUAAAAAAAGAUUUUUUCUUACAGAAAAAUGUCCAACUUUGUUUUGUACUGUAAGAUUUCCAAAACAAGCAUAAAGAAAGUGAGAUGGUUAAUUUUGCUUUGUUCCUGGUACUUUGUUUAGCCUGUCGCAUGCUGCCUUGUGUUCUUUGACUGACCAAACAUGCACUGUUUGAAGAACAUCCUGUAAAAAAGAAUUGCGAGUUUUCUCAAAAUAAACUUCAACAGAUUUUCUACUCAGCAUAAAGUUUCAUGUUGUAGCCAUAUUUAGGAUGAAACAACAUUGGCACUCCUUGCAUCUUGCACACAGCCCUCUGCUUGCACUUCACUGAGCAGGUCUCUUUUCUCUGUCCUUAAUCAGAAGCAUAUAUGUUCUAAUGUAUACAGAGAUGCUUUGAUACACUUCUUAUGUUGUCCUCUUCAGUGAGGCAGCUUAAUGAAAAAAAUCCUGGCAAAUAAACUACAUCUAAAUCACCCUAAAAGUUGGAACUCUACAUAAAAGUUCUGGAAUUCAAGACUAUGGUGGAAGCUGUGACAUCAACUCAUGUAAAACAGUCAUUCUGUAUUACUCAGCCUUUUUACGUGGUAGGAAUUAACUGUGUGUCAAGGAGCAUCACAGAGCCAAAAAUCAACCCCUCUGUUUUGAAAGCUGAGUGUGACUGGAGAAAUCUCACUCUGCUUUUCCAUUUGGUGCCUUUUAAGCUUUACCCCAUUCCUUCUGCAUCACAAUGAAAUGACUGCUGGCAUGUGAUCAGAAACUCAGAAAUCCUGGCUCCCUAUCAACUUACAAAAAUUGACCUGGACAUUUUAUCCACUUUGAUGAGAGCAUGAAUGAAACUUAUUUCUCGUUCAUUCAUAAGGAAUGCUGCUGCUUAGCACCAGCACAAGUACUUCACUUCAUAACCCAUUGAGGAAAAAUUGUUGAAAUUAGUACAAAUAUCCUACCUGCUACCUGAAUCCUAUCCAGUAUUUUGUAGUGACAGUCAAAAUAAAUCACAAGUGGUUGGAAUAAUAUCCUAUCUCUUCAUUUAAGUCUUGGUCCAACUACCACUGAAAUUAAAUAGGUUUUUCUGUUGAUCUGAAUGGAGGUUGGACUUCAGGAUCAGAAGAGUUAUCUGAACAUUGAACACUGCAGCCAUCCCAUGCCCUUCAUUGGACUCCUGGACAUUUGCCUUCUAACGUAAAACCACAACUUCUACAAAAACACUUUUACUUCAAGUAUUCCUGGUUUCUCUCUGUUGCGAAAGAUAAGUUUGUCUUGCUUAUGUGAAAUAAAAGUGUGUUUGAUGACCAAGAUCCUAUUCCUAAACCAUGGUGCACAGUGAAUCUGUCCACAGACCUCCACCCAUCUGGUGCUGUGCUGAGCAGGUGACUGGCCUAAGCAUCCCUUAGAAACCACACUGCUGUCAGCUGUAACAGGCUUGUCCACCCUGUGCAAUUCACUCCAGAGAGCAACAACAGGCUCCCUACACAGGUCUAUCAGAAAUCUAUCUAACAGAAACUCAUCAUUAGCAGAUAAACAGCCCAAGCUCUAGGAACCUCUGAUAAUUAUUCUGUUUGCAAAGAAGAGGUCUGUGUUGAAGCUAUUUUCUUAUUUUUUACUUUCCCACCCAACGAAGAACAUCAUUCUUAAAACAAGGUGAACUGAAGGAAUCCAAGCUACAAAUCAAACAGCUACAAGUAGCAAAACCAUCUCCAGAGAGAAUUCCAGUCCAUGAGGUCAACAGCAGCUACUUAGUAGGGAAAGCACCGCUUAUCCCAGACAUGCCUGUUCUGGUGCACUGAGGUACCAGCUGCAGUGCUGCUUGGCAUCAGCAGCAAACCUGGUACAGAAUAGGCUGGAUCAGCAAGGGAGCCACAUAAACUGGACUGCAGUGCUAAGAGAGGUUAUACAAAGCCAGUGCAAACAUGAAUAUCAGCGUUUGUUUUUCCACGUAUGUUGUGGAUAAUUUAGCUGUUUACCUGACAAAUCUGUAAACCUUAUAGUUUCUUCAUCCCAGCAGAACUGCUGAAUAGAUUUUCAGACCAUGAGUUGUUGAGAGUGUGCCUUUUGAUACGGACAUUCCAAAUGCUAAAAGGAAACUUUCACAUUUGGUACAGCAAAAAUCUCACACAACUACAACAAGAGAUCCCUCCAAGGUGACUCAUGGCUGAUAACCCUGCUGGAAGGAUACACAAACAGUCUGACUUGGGACAAGGCUGUAAAUAUGAAGCGUGCUUCCUGCAAACCUAUACUCAUUUUGGAAGACUAAAACACAGAAUUAAGUUGUACUGUCCAGCUUCAAUCUUAACAAUGGAAAACUCAGCUGUUUUGCAAAAGCACUGACUUGUAGACCAGACACAUCACCCAAACCUUGUGAACUUCUGUCAGUCCAGAUAGAUUAAUAUUGGUCAAAACUAGUUAAAAAACGCUGUCUUGCUCUCUAGCAACAAAGUACAUACAAAAAGCCACUCUGAAUUGCAACCCUCCACUUCACAUAGCACUUGGAAAAGUCAAGUCCGGAGCAGCAGUAGACAGAGAAGAGGGUUAUGGAUUCUGGUGUAUACUGUCAGAGCACUGUUUAUUCUAAUCAAUCAACUGAAAAAGUAGCAGCUGAGAGUAAUUAUUAAUAAUCAAGUAAAAUUGGAUUAUUUCUCUGCACUGCAGUGAUGUCUGGAUUGAGAGGCUGGUAUAGAAAAAGUUCAUCAGAGCAAGCUACUGCGGUAAAAUUGCUGACCUCAGCAGUUCAUCAGAGAAGGUGGAAAAGGGAACCUCAACUAAACAUAUGGACAUGCUAUCUGCUCAGCAUGAGGUAUAACAAAAAUAAUUAUUGGAAGACAGCUGAGUCUAGACAGUCAAAUCAUCAUAUAGCCAGCCGUAUAUCCAAGUGACAGCAGUAAGACCUACUGCCAAAGCUUUUCAGUUCUGAGGGAUUUGUUUUUCGUGACUCUUCAUUCCUGAAAGCAGUCAGCUCCCCAUUCCAGAUAUACUGCCUGUAAGGAAGGGCGGUUGGAUCUUGUCUGAAUAUGUUUUGCCCUCUGUGCAUCUGUGGUCUUGGUUGAUCUUAUUCUCAAGCAAUGGAAUGGAAACAUUGCUUUAUACAAUGCACACAAUGUACGCAUGCAAUAUGAUUAAAUAUACAUCAGAAAGGAACGCUAUACCAAACACUGCAGUAUACUUGAGUCUGGAUAUUCUAUGUUUGCUUAAAACAACCACGAUGUGGCACCGCACAGAGAUAUUCUUAUCCGCAAACACUGAACUGUGACUAAAUAACUCACACUGUUACUGCAAAAGCAAUGGCUCAGCAACUUCAUUAACAAACUUGUAGACAAAACUAUAUUAGCCGUUUGUGCCCAUGAGUGCCUUAUCCAUACAAUCACACACAUACCUUCUAAGUGCUUUGCAGACAAAAUUUAGGAGCCUUCAUUUGAAAAUUUAACUCAGAUUCAGUAUUAACAGCCGCACUGGGUAUAAACCAGAGUGAACCUUCCCUUGCAGUAAACGGAAUUGUAUCAAUUCACAACAUUUAAGCUGCAAACCCCGAACUGAGGAACACUGCCCACUUACAUGGGGAAUACACUGCUGCUACUGGAGGAGGCAGAAUUUGGAGUUCUUUGACAUCUGUGUGUGCCAACCUCAGCCAUGGAACAACUGAAUUACCACAGCAAAUGUUUUCUAACAACUUACUAAUUACAUUUUCAAACUAAAUAUUUACUUCUAUCAUGAGUAUUUUUUUUUUUUAAUCAUCAACAGAAUCUGUUAUUUCCCCAUUAACUUUAGCAAUUUCUUAAAUGAAAAUAAUCUUUUACUUAAAGGGUGCAGGGCAGAAUCUUGAGAAUUUCAGUUUCCUCAGAACUUCUGGAUGAUACAGAAUGCUACACAACCCCCCAACAUACAUCUUACAGAAAUGAAGGAUCCGAUGAGCAAAGGCUUUUCCUCAUAACCUGCAGCAAAACACUGCUUUCAGCAUCCCACUGCAAAUGCCAGGUGCAAUGGUCUACUUAUUUCUAACAUUCAUUAUUUUCUCCAUUUCAGGAAGUGAGAAGGGAGAUGUAGUUUAAUGUUUUUCUUUGAGUCAGAUCAGUCUGGAAAAGUUUUGAUAGUGGGGAUCAUCUACCAGAAUAGCAGAGUACCAUUAAUUCUGCAAUGUUAAUGUCUGCUUUAGACAUCAGUGCACACAGCAGCAGGUAGGAGCAGGAUGAGGGGAAACAGUGCUGGAUAGUCAGCACUCUGGGUUCUCUGCUUGUGUGGGAAGAAAGGGUUAAGCUUGCCUUGAGGUUCACUUUGCUGUGCCCGGUUUGUGCAAGGCCAGAAAUCAAUCAAUUGCACUCUCUCUUCUCCUUUUCUUCCUGGGAACCAUUGCAGGAAUAUCGUGCUCAGGAUCUUGUUUAAAUCCACGACUCUUCUCUGUCAAGUCAAUUCCUCCUAUCCUCCCUCAAGCCCCCCCCCAACAACAUCCCCUCCCCUCUCCCUGAAAAUGGGUCUUCUGAGCUCGUUUUGCUAAUGUAUUCUCAAACCAAAUUAGGGGCCCUGACUCUCGGUGAAGUUCGUGAGUUAGUCGCCGCGAUGCACUGAAUUAAAGAUACCAUCUCGGACUCAAAUCAGAUUAGAGCCCACACACACACAUGCAAAGGCCCACUUUCUAAUCAAUUUUAUAAAGGGCCUUCAGCAGAGAUACACUAAUGGUAUUGAGCUAAGAUCUUUAAACUAAGUCUGCAAGAAGUCUGCGGAGAUAAAACGCACACUGUAUUAAAGAGAAAGCUCUUCACUGCGCCCUUUCCACUGGGAAUCCAGCGCACACUGGAAGAGCACCUCACAACACAAAGAAGCUCUCCUGAACCCAAGACGUCCCCUCCCACCCUCCUCUGUUGUUUUCCUCCUUCAGACCUUCAAGUCCUUUCUUUCACUUACUGUCAAGCUGCAGCAGAAGAUUCCUGCACAGCAGGCAGAGGACAUGGGAACUACGAUGCCCUGGUAUGUGCUAGGAAUUAGACAUAAUGAAAACAUGCAGAUCUUUUUAGGCCUUUUCCAUAAAUCUAUAAUCAGUGGGCAAGUGAUCAGCUGCUUGGGUUCAAUUAGACUUCCUACUUCAAUGCAGCUGCCCUGCAAUCACAGACAAGAUGCGAGGCACUGCCACCCUGGUUGGUGCAUGUAACUGGGAUGGCCACAGCAGCCGCCUGCAGAGAUGUAACAGUCACUGUAUGGCAAGGGGCUCCCCUUAGAGCAGUAGCUGUGCACACCUGGUAUCUUCACAUCCUCCUGUCCUCAUGUAUCUCUGGUUAGCAGUAGAAAGUCUCAUGUGCGGCAUCACAUUUAGCUCUCCGAAGCCAACUCUCUGAACUGAAAUGUGGAGCCCAGAAAAGGAAGAGCAAGAUAACAUAAAAAAAAUUGUUGGGCAAGAUUGCCCACAGAUGGUGGCUUUGAAGGGAAGGCAGAAGAAAGAGUUUAUAAAAGAAGCUGAAAUUGGUGAUUUAACAGCCCAGCAGUUGCUUGGUCACCAACAGACAGAGAAGAAAAGCCAACUAAAGACUGUGUUUGCAAAGUGUUCUGUGUCAGACUGGGAAGUAAUUUUUUGCUCUGCUUCAAUAUUAUCAGUAAAAGCACCUCAAAAUAUUUCACACACUACAAAGUCAUAUCUCAGAAUCCAACAUCAGUCUUUGUAGCUACUCACUUUCUAAGAUGCUGCUUCUAAGAAAAGGAUGAGCAAACCUACUAAGGUAGCAGAAAACCUGUGUCUUAACAACAAUCCCAUCAAAAAUAGGAAUUUCUCUUUAGCUAUGAGAAAAAAAUGCUUCUAAGAUUCUUAAAAACUCUCAUAUGCUCAAGAUUUUCUUGGUUUCUGAAACUCUACCUAGCUAAUUGAAUCGUGAGAUUCUGCAUACACAGCAGAAACUCCCCUCAAAAUAUUGAUGGAAAUACAUCAAACACAACAUACAUUUCUCUGACUAGCUAACAUACACAUUAGCCUAACAACACACUGGAAGGAAUGACUUGAACUUUCAGAGGGCCAGCCUUGAAAAAAAGUGAGCCUUCCUUGUGAUUUUUGGACAGGUGACAGCUCCUAGAGCUGGGCAGGACACCAGUGUCCUCCUGCAGCAGAGAAAACCCCAACAGCAACAAUCUUCCAAGAUCUUGAGCUCCGCCACACUAUUAGCACAGAACAGUUUCUCAGAGCUCAGAUGGGCUCUGCUCUCCCUGAGACUGCUUCAGGCCUCACACUGCUGUGGAGUUUUAUAAUGUUCAUGUGCUGAGGACGAUGCCAGUUUUCAAUGCAAUUAACCUUUACAGCCUAAUGAAAUGGCUCUACUGGCUAUGGUGGCAGCAAGGAGCCCCUUGACACUGGCAGGCUCCUGAGGAUGGCUUAUCAAGGUUGCAGAGCAUCACUGCUCCACUUCUAUCUGCAGGCUGCAGCUAAUCAAUGCCAGACCUGAAAGGAGCAGGCAAUGCCAGCCCCAGCACCGCACUCCAACGCCAUAUUGAUCUCUGGGAGGAGAGGGGACUUGAGUCUGCGCCCACUGAUCUGCUGUGUCACAGGCAGCAUUCUUCCAGGAACGUACUAGGUAGCAGAAGCACCCAGCUGGGAGAAAGGGGAAAAUUCCUCAGGUGGGAAAGAGUUACCUCAUAUAUGAUACCAUAUCAGCAAACUGUCCCAUGGCUUAGCAGACCUUGCUCAGUGAAAAAGAAAGAAAGGAAAGAAGAGCUACCAAUAAGCUGGGCUUAGAACCGGGAAGUCCCAGGUUUCAGUAAAGAGUCAGAGCCAAGCCAGAAAGGUAGGAAAAACUGGGAGAUGGGCUAAGAAAAAAAACACCAAAACUCUUUAGACUCCAAAAGACGGCAGAAAAGAGAAACAAAAAACAGGUUCUGGUAACUGUAAAUCAAAGGCAAUCUGGAUCAGUUUGCAGCAGAUCUGCAUCAAAAGGAGACUUUCAACAGGUAAGCAGGAGAAGCAAGAAAAACACUGUGUCCUUUGUCUUUGGCACAGAGUAUGAAUAGAUCCAGGGCAUGGACAACACAAUAUAGAUGCUGCCAGGGCAAAAAGGUCUCUGAAAUUAAUGCUUACGCAUGCAGUGCAAUACAAAGGGACCUGCUCUCAAAGGAGGAUAUUUUCCAGAACUGCAGAAUGCGCUUAUCUCCAUAUCUGAGUGUGAAAAUCAGGACCGCAGGUGCAGCAUAUAUUUAUACAUACACAAAUAUAGGAGCCUGCUUGUAAAGAGGCAAAGGCUUCUUUACCAUUCAGUCCCAAAUGAGCAGGAAUGCUCCCAUAUUUCUCUGACCUAUGUCAAGGUAGAACACAUACACUUGCGUGGCACAUAAGAUUUCAUCUAGACUAUAGAGACUGAAACUAAAGGACUUGGUAUGUGGCACCCAUUUUCAAGAAUUUCUUUCCACUAAAGCAAAAAUAGAGAACAAUCUGAUUUGUGUGACUGUGAUAGGGCUAGCUUUAUCAUUAAAUACAUUACUGUCAUUUAAAAAGUAUUUCACAGACCCAAAGCGUUCAUCUCAUUAAAGUAUCUUCCCAUAAGAACUUGGAUUCCAGAGACAGAUUAAAGAAAGCAGAUAUUUCAAUCCACAAUUUACCAGCAGGGGAGAGAAUCAGGGACUUAAGUCUUUGCUCAGAUCACCAAAGGAACUUAUAGAAGAGCUGGGAACUGGGCUUUGAUCCUGAUCCCAGAUUUGUAAACAUUCAGCUUCUUUAUGAAACAGAAGUUAGGAGAACAGUAGAAUCAGAAGACUUACUUUGCAUGCUUCCAAGAGCAUGGAGUAUAUUUAAUUUAUUGGUAGGGACAGAAUACCACUGAAAAUGAAAUACCUUUUUAUUAAAAACCAGCAAUAACCACCACUCAUCACAAAACCUUUAAAAUUUGCUCCAAAACUCAUGCUAAAAGUACAUCUAAAGAGUUGUCAGGAUUUUUUUCUUGUUCCUUUGUGAAAUGUUUGCUUACAUUUAUUUUCAUUUAUCUUAAGAAAAAGAUCAUUUUCACUGAGAAAUGAAAACUACACAAGGACAACUCAUUUUGGCACAGCUAGGAAAAAAAAAUCAAUUUCCUCAAGUUAAAGUUUUACUCUUUCCUUGGAAAAAAACAAAAAAAAAUAAAAAAACACCCUAGAGAGAAUUCCCACCUGCUGGGAACAUGAACCAGAUAGCAAAAUUCAGCUCUCAAGAGCAGAAACUUCCACCUGAGUGUCUGUAGAAGGAAGCAAACAAGGAAGGGAUCCCUCCCUGUCAGGCCAGAAAGCAUCAACUCCGCUCUCUGUGAGCACCACAGCUAGGUUUGGGGAGUCUGUGCUGCCAUCUUCAGGGAUGCUCGCUUUUUUCCAUGACCCAAAAUCACAAAUGAAGGCAAACAAAAAGGAAAGAAUUUCAACAUACAGAAAGAAAACAAGAAGACGACAGCUCCGCUCUUUUCCCUCCAAGACUGCUGGGUGCCUUGCGGAGAAUCAUGGAAACUAAAACUGGGAGAGCCAAAUAAAUCCUGCCUCGUCCAUACAUUCCCAGGCUGCAGUAAAGCUAAUCAUCGGUGCCUAGACCUGUCUUUUUCCUCUCUCUUCUUCUAAUCCAGAAUGGGAUCGGGUGAUUAUUCAGAGUACCUCAAUAGCAGAUGCUCAGUUGAUGCUAACUAACCAUCUUCUUUACAAAGCAAUUUCAAAAAGACAGAGAGACCCUGACCCCUUCCCACUGGGCUGAAUUAAAAUGAAACAGUUAAUUGUGUGCCCACAGGGUACUCAAAGUCCUGUUUUGUGAGAACAUAUCACAGGCAUUCAAAAGUUUCACGUACAUGUUAUUCUUCCUGAGACUAAACAGCUAGAUUUGAGAGGCUGUGGGGAUAAACGCUGCACAAUAGCAAAGGUAAAUUGAAGAGGACAAAUCAGAAUCUCCUUGUUUCGUAUUGUUGUCGUAUACGUUUCUCAAAUCAUUCUAAAGUGCCCUUUGAUGUCUGCAACUCUUUUUUUUUUUUUUUUUAAAAAGGACAACCAAUCCUACAGAGCUGUGAACUCUUUGUCAUUUCUCUGAGUUUUUACCUUGUCACAAGUAUUUUGCAUUUUCUUUUCCCAAAAUUGCUUCACAGGCUCUCAGGCACAGCAUCUUUGCGUAUCACAUAUUACACAACAAAAUUCAACUUAUCAGUACUGUGUUUUCAGGUUGAAAAUCAUGUCUCUGUCCCUCAACUGCUAUGCUGGGGCAGGACUUUCUUUGCUGGUCAUAACACUGACCGAGUGGGAGCCAUGCUCUUCAGAUCUCCAUUGCCCUCUGGCCUCACUGCCCCCCUGUAAAUAUGACUGCUCCACGUUCUCAACACACCUACAUGACAGAAUAAGAAAUAAUGUUUUUAUUCAAAUUAAGCACCAACUAUAAGCUUCUACGUAGGUCAGUAUAAUGGCUGAAGGUUAGAGAUAUAAAACUGCACCAUCCUGUUUUAUUAACAACCCAUUCUUGCUUAAAGCUUUUGGCUUUGUAUUUUAUUUCACCUAGGAUACUGUUAUUACCUCACAAAAUUGAAGACUUCCUUUUUGAUCCACUUAGGUCAUUUUUAAAAAAUGAUGAUUGACACUGAGCUUGAAGCAACCUGUAGCACUUUUCAACCACAAGGACUUAAGCUGCUACUCAAAAUGGCAUGUACAGUAAGGGACCAUUCCACUCAUCUGUUUCUGAGGCCUAACACGUGCAGCCCAGGCCCAAGAACUGAAAGAAGCUUUACAUCCUGUUGAGACUGUAACAGAAAGUGCCAAGCUGAGAUGUCGGCAACAACUCUAGGUCUCCUAACAGAAGAGACUCCUACUGGAAAAGCUGACUGAAGAGAACAGAAAGCAGCCGCUUUGCUGAUGGAUUAUUUUUAAGCCAUUUCACAAGAUUUAAUAGACAGUUUCUCCUCAGAUCAUGCUAGCUCUUUUGGUGAUCCAUCACCAGCCUGAUCCAUCUGUUUUGAGCACCUUUCCAACAUGCACCUGCCUUUCUCCAUGCCUCACUUCACAACGGACUGGUUGACACUGCCUCACAGCCAGCACCCACAACACUUCCCUCUACAAGACCUGCACUACUAGAAGCACUGACAGAGAGCAGCUCACUAACGAUGGGUGAGAUGCACAAUGAAGGACUCACACUGCCAUUUCAAAAUCUUCCUAAAACAUAAAUGCACUCACAGUCAAUAAGAUUGUGCAUAUUGCUUUUCUUUUUCCCAAUCCUAGCUUGCUGCUGGGCUAGGGGAAAAAACAGAACUAGCAAAGCCUUUAUUCUCUUGAUUUUCUGAUCUCUCUGCCUUGGUGCCUCCUCCCUGCUUUCUCUACUCGUGCCAGGCCUCAGGGCAGCACACCUCUCAGCACACCUCUCGCAGCAGGCAGCAUGCCGCAGCCCAGCCCUGGGAAGAGGCAUUCCUGGUAUUGUCCUUGGGGAGACUGCAAAGCUGUCCAAGUCCGAAUGCAGUUGGGGAGGAGCUCAGCACACUGGGUUUAUGGGGCUGCACAGAGAGACAGACACAUGGCCAGAUCCAGAGGGGACAGCAGCAGCUUGUGCCGGCCACUGCAGAGUGGCACGAGCAGAGCCAGCACGAGGCAGGUUACCCGAGCAGCGCUUCGGGUGGUGCAGUAAUAUCAGCUUCGCACUUUCAUGAGUGCUAAGUUCACACAAAAAUGUUUUUUUUUUUAAACCCACCACAGGCGAUUAAGCUGUGAUCUAGAUUAAUUAGCUGCCAUAUUUCAUUUUUAAAACCAGAACCGUCCUGUGCUGACACUGAGGAAACUUACAAUUUUUUCACUCGUACCUAACGGCCUCUGGUUUUUCACUGCCUGGAGGCAAAGGGCUGCUCUCAGCCGCACACCGCUAGGCCAGGCUGCACUGCACCCACAGCCGGCAGCCAUCUUGCCGUGCUCCUGGGACAGGUCAGGGUGGGGAACCAGAGAUCUCCUAAUGGAAGUGCUGACCCUGCUGUAACUCACGUGCCCCAAGCAGCAUUGAUUCGGUGUUGAAAACAAAAGAUUGAUGAAUUGUAUAAUGUACUUUUACCACUGUUAAUUUUUCUGAGUGCUGCUGGUUGGUGUCUCCUGGAGGCUAACAGGCCCCUUUGGCCACACAGCAGUAUUUACUCCAUCACCACAUCUGGAAGCAAAAGCUGUGUCCUUGUCCUUCUGAGGGAUAAGGGAUUGUGACAACGCACAUCAAAGAAAGGACGCGUCUCACAGAGGUACAGCAUUUCUGCAUGGAAACAGGGUUCACCUUCUGCCUAUUUCCUGUGAAGGUCUUUCACUUUGCACCUUUAAAUCCCUAAAUAAAGAGGAGACAAGCAACAAUCCUGCUUGCGCAACAUCACAGAUUAGCUCUACCAAAACUGAGACGCUAGACUCUCCUCUUCAGCCCUAUUUUACUCCCCAUCCAUUAAAAUUACAACAAAUGCUGUUCGGUCCACCUCUCCAAAGCACCAUUUAACAAGGAGGCAACAGGUAGUGCUCGGUAAUCCUGCAACACAGCACUAAGACUUGAAACCAGCAACAGCCUGUAGAAUGAGCCAGAAAAAUCUUUACAAAUUGGUUGUAGUCCUCAGUUUCCUCCUUUUCCAGCUCAUUGAAUGUGAGAUGUUUUUUCUCCCAGGGUUAUUCUAUAAUAUUUCUAUCACACCAAAAAGUACACCUGAGCUAUUCCUUCUUUCACACUAAGUCACUGUUGCUCUAAUUCACACCCAAGGCUGCACAGGUCUCCCACCCCACCGCACUGUUUCUGCCUUCUCCGCUCCCUUGGAGCAGAAGAGCCGCACAGGCCUCCUACCAGCUGCUGAUGUGCAUCUUCCUUCUGUAGUUGCAGGGAUGCUAAAUACACUGUAAUAAAUCUCCUCAUCCCACGGGAACAGUUCACUUUCCUCAGGCCCCAUGACAUUACACACAGCAGCUCUUCCCAAUGUCAAAAGCACCAUUUCAAAGCUGCUCUGCCCUCUGAAAGAUCCUGCUGCCCUAUUUCCCUACUCCACCCUGUGCAGUUUGCCCCUCACACCACCCAGCUCUCAGGUUCCCCGCAAUAGGUGCUUGCAGCAGGCUCUGCUCUCAGCCAGCAACAGAGGACACUGAAGGGCUGUCAGGUGGGAGGGACCCUGUGUGCUGGCAUGGGCAGUCUUUGCAUGUGUGCCUCUUCCUCGCCUCACAAGGACAUUGCCUCACUUUCCCUUUGUGGCGGAGAGACAAAGAAAGAGUCCACAAAAUUGAAGGAAAGCCCAUUUCCAGUCAAAUGGUCAUACAGUGCCUGUUGAAUUAAAAAGGUGAGAGAGAAACACAGCAGUAGUUUUGCAAGGUUUGACCCCAAUUUUUAGGCAAAUCCUCAUUCAAUUUUAAUUUUAGCAGAACAAACCUACACAUAUGCUAGAAUUUUUUUUUUCUCUCCCUGUCAUCCACCCUUCCCUUAAAGCUCCUGUAUCCAAAUUCCAGCUUACUGCGGGAAGAAAUGGUUCUAUAUUUUCAGUGCACAUUCAGUAGUUUAAAUGAGAAAAGUGGUGAGAAAUACACUUUUCCUACUAUGCUGCAGAAAGAAACCUUAGCUAAGGCAAGACACACACAGUGACUGCUAUCUUCGGCUUUUCAUUCACCAUUGCUCUGUCACAGUGUGAGCUCAAGCUUCAUGACCCAGGUGUUAUCCUUGCUUUUCUCCCCUCCAGCUCACCAUCUCCAGACAAACACAGCUCACAGUAGAAGGAUACUGUUUACAACCCAACAUGCUCAAGGAUCAUGCCGCACCAUCAACUCUCCUUUGGAUCUCCAGUCUAGAGCAGCAGGACACUGCCUGACAUUGCUUUACACAUUUCCUAGCAGCAUCAGAGUUUUAACAAUACUACAGAAUCAGAUGGUGUUAUAUUCCCUACCCACAGGUGAAUAUCAGGGAGCUUUUGCUUAAGGCACAGUUACAUUUGCCUUCCAUUUUUUUCUCUGUUUUUUCUAUUGUCAUAAAGAUGUAAUUGCUGUUGAGUUUGAUGGCAUUUACAUAUAUUUUUUAAAAAGAGCUUGAAACAAGGUUCAGGUCUGAACAGUUGUCUUGUUCUAGUCUCCUUUUUCCUUCGCACAGGCCUUCUUCUUCCACAGGUUUCAUCUUCUCAAAUUUGGCAAAGGACAUUCUCAUCUAGAGCUCUCUGGAAUUCUCCACAUGCUGGAAUGCUUCUUUGGAGACCUCUUUCACUCUUCUCUGCUGUGUUUUUAUCCCAAUAAUAUUCUUUGCAACUUCAGCAAGUUCACACUUCACCUCCUCUCACACCUCAUUUGGCAUUUUGUCCUCUGUGCAUUUUAGCAAUGCAUCAAACUGCUCCCCAAUUACCACUAUGCAGCCUUCCCCAACAAACUCCAAAUUAUUCCCAAAGGGCUGAAAGAAUAAUUUCAUGCAUUGGAAGCAUAAAACUUGAACUCUGAAGGAAGUAGCCAGUGAUCUGAGGCACUAGCAGCACCUGGCAGUCUUAGAUGAGGAAAAUGACACCCAUACAAAGCUGUAGGGUUUUAUUGUUUAUUUUCCCCUUCAAUACAAUCUCUUAUAUCAGUUCUUAUAUAUUUCCUGUGAUGUUGAGUUGAAUGGCCUAAUAUUAAUGCUGUGCCAGUUUCACACUUUCCAUAUGCCACCUGAAUUUGACAGUUACUUGUCACUUAAGUAUAAAUGACAGACAAUUGAGAUCCAAAGCACCUUAGAAGACAGUUUUAAAAGAAAGUUCCCAAACAUGCUUGAAGCUUGUAGAUGGCUUCUUCAUCUUGUGGCUUCUGCUUGUCUCGUUUCCCAUAUAAAUUCUUAACACCAGCCUCUUCCUUCAACAACACUGACAACAUUUCAUGGUUGUUAGUUGCUUUCAGAUGAUGAAGUGACCUGAUAUAAAUUACCUAUUGCUGCAAGUGAAAGAGAACGUAUGAGCACAGCAGUUGCUCCUAGAAGGCAGGCAGCAAGUACUGCCUGUAUUGUUACAGGCAGAAGGUUUUCUAUCAUUGUAGAAGUUUUUUUAAUCUGAUUUCCUCCUCAAAGAUUUUUCUCUAUGAUAUCAAAGGUGGUUUUUUUUUUGUUUUUUUUUUUAAUGGCUCAGUAGUCCACAUCAUGAAAAGUGGCAAACCUUUAUCCUAACUCUCAUACUGGUGAUGUAUCAAAGAUGCAGUGAGACCACUCCAAUGUCACUGUACCAGAAGAAACAAGAGACACUGAGGACUGGGGCCAGAGGUCAAAACAAGGCAAUCCAAAAAUGAAUGGAUUACUCUCUUUUAAAUCUGCACUUAAUUGUUGCUCACUGCUUUUCAUUUACCCUGUUAAGAAAACAAUCAUAUAAAGCCACUUACUAGUAAGGAAAAAGAUAAAGAGACUAUUUCAAACAAGUAUGGUGAUAUUAAUAGUAUACAAUGCAGACAAGGUACAUUCUAGACUCGGUGAGAAAUUAGCUACAUAAACUCCCGUAUCUCCUGAUGAGACAGAAUUGAUGCUCUCAAUGAAGCGGUUAUGAAUUUCAAGCCAAAGUACCAUCUGUGGAUUCUUAACACAGGCUGCAGUAGCCCCACAAUUCAGAUCCUGAUGACCCAGUUACUCUCCCAACUGCUCAUCACCUACACAAGAUGUCACAAUACACUGCCCAUGAACCAGGUAGGGAAUACUGCUCCUUCACAGAGGUUUAACCUCGAUGAAUCUAGAAUGUCUAGGUGUCACAUUAUUAGGGACAGACUGACAAACCAGAUACUUUAAGACAGCAGAAAAUGGUUUGAUAGGCUCAAAUAUGAAGAAAAUCAUGCGAUUGCUUCAUUUAGGAAACAAACAUGUCAAAAGAAACAAACACAUCAAAAGAAGUAAACACAUCAGAGAUGCACUCAUAAAGAUGGUAAUGUAUUUCUCAAAGGCUGCAAGGGACUAUGAUGGGAAGCUACGUUUUUCCUCUCCUAAUCAAGCUUCUUUACAAUGAGAUCUCCAUAGCCAGGAGAAUCACUCCUUGGUGGACAUCACGGUGACAGCUUCCAAACACUGUAUUCGCAGGAUGAGGAACAGAGUUUGCAGGAUAUGACCUGUGAGGAAUGUCACAAAGUCUCCUCAGAGGCUUCAAAAAAAAUCCAUGAAGAUGGCAACACUCUCCUAAUACAGCAAUAAGAGCACCGCCAAGGUGCCCAGGAGAAACCCACGUAUACUUUUUAGAGGACAAAAUAAUCUGAAUGUUUCUAAAGAGCCAGGCUGUGAAAAGAAAGGUGUGAUGGUUGGUCCCACCCAGCCCCACAGCCCCCGAGCAGCAAUGUGCAGUACUGUUGGGUAGGGCCCUGCACAUGGCUGCUGAGCUCUGUCAGCUCCCACCUGCACUGCAGCCACGGACAGGUGGAGGUAAAGCCUCUAGCCAUCCUCCAAUGAGGAAAGUCAAUCUAUUCUCCUUUCAAAGGACAGUUCUAUCUGUGCUGCCUUUAUUUAUACCCACAUUGAACAGGCAAGUCACCUGCAGGCUGCAUAUCAGUGUUGUUAACCUCCCGAGGAUCCAUGUUUGCAUGUUUUCCCCAAACAGCUGAAAGAUGGAGAUGCUGAGGCUCUUCAGUGUGACAGCAAAGUUCUCUUAAAGGAGGUGAAAUUGUCUCUUCAAGAUGUUUUUCCCACCAAGGCUGUAUAGUUCUGGGAAUUUCUUCUGGAGUAGGUAUUUGAAAGGAUUCAUCCACAUCUCCUCUUGCCCACUGGCCUCCUCCUUCUCUACCCAGAUAUCCCAUCUUCUUCAUGUAGCCCAUAUCAGGCUCAAGCACUGUUGCUGAAACAAGCCACCUACGUCCACUGGUUUCUCUUAACCUCUAACUUUAGCACUAAAAUUUCUUUCUUUUUUUUUUUUUUAAAUGAAGUCUUCACCCCUCUGCUUCCUCACAGAGGUGUUGCACAGCAGAUUUCUCUGAGAACAGGGUGAAGUUUAGCAUCAGAAAAUUUUGGCUGUAAAUUCUUCCUCUGUCUCAAGGGAAUAAUGAGUUUUCCUGUGCCCACUUUGUGCCAGCUACCUGCUUUCAGCAUCGAACAGCCUGAUGUCUGUACUGAAUACUGUGCUACGGUCAGCUAACCACCAGAGGCAAGCUGAAGCUCCGUGCAAUUUGGUGCCUUCCUUGAAAAUGCCAGCCAUAGGAAAGCAUCACAAACCAUUCACAUAUGGUAUUUACCUGGUCCCUUUUCAAUCUACAGAUUUCUGAAUCAAAUAAAUAAUAAAUUAUCUCCUGAGAGGGAGUCAAGAACUUAUAAUAGACACCAACCACCCAGCCUCUUUUAAUCCAUCCAAUAUUAGACUCGUUAUUCAUCGGGAUAACAAUCCUAUUUGCAAAUCAGCUACCUUUAUCAGAUAACCAACAGGAGCUAGUACAAUAUCUAUUAGUCCAACAAUAUCAGCACCAAGAUAUAUAACUGCUUCUGUACAAAAACCCUUCUUCUAAUCCUUCUUAAACUCAACAAGACUGAUUGGUUUUUAUUAUUCAUGAAUUAAUUUUUAACUCUUGCUCCAACAGAAUUGAAUGUAUAACAUCUUGCAGAGAUCGAGGCAAAGAAACAGUAUGCUAAAAAAGCAGACCAUCCGAAAGCAGGUUUUUGUUUUUUCUUUCAACAAACAGCUGAGGGGGAGAAGCUGCAUCUAUUUUUCCCUAAACACCUAGGCAAAAAUUCUAAGGAAUACGAGUGCAUUAAAAGUGCACAAAUACUACAUCGGUGUACUGCAUGAGCUUUUGGUCUUUCUUUCAUAAAUACGCUCUUAAAAAUAGCUAUGGAACUGAAUUGGUCGAUAGUUAUAAAAAUAAGUCCAUAUUAGAACAUGAACUCAAAUGGGGAGAUUCCUACAGAGAUGGUCUGUAGUAUUAACUGAUUAGUUAGGGCUUACAGCUUCUUCUGCAAUGACAGUUCCCCAGCUAUAACUGCUAGAAGAAAAGCAACUGCUUUGUUCUAAUUUAAAAAAAAAUACAACCAAAGGAACAAAAAAGAGAAUAAUCAGAAACACUGUAGUUAUUGGAAAAACCACAAAGCACAUCCCAUCAAACAAUUUCCAAAGCAAGGAAUUCCAUAAAGGAAACAACCUACAUUCUGUGUCCUGCAAAAACAAAAACACAUCAAAAAGAAAAAAAAAGUUUCCAAAAUAGCCAAAAAUUGAACAAACAACAUUCCAAACACCUGACUUCUCUGGUUAUGCCACAGGAGCCCAGCUUUAUCUUUAUAGCUGGAUCUGUGCCUUGCAAACUGUUUUUCAAAUUCCUCCACGGCAUUUUAUUCAAAGAAAACCUUUGCUUACCUUUAAAAAUCACACAUUCUGACAUGUAUUGGUUUAUAAACAGAGCAUCUAUUGCCAGUUGUUUGACAGCACCUAACCCUAAAUACUCACUAUUAUGUCUAUUAAGUUGCAACAAAAGCGCCAAGUAUUUAUUUGAGCACAAAUAGUGCGUAUGGCAUACUUGGAUGGCAUUCUGCUCUUACAGAACACCUUCCAUGCACGGCUAUCAAAAGAUUUACAAACUUUAAUUAACCAAUACUCAGGAUGACCUUGUGAUGAAGACCAACACAUCUAUCCUGAAUUUUUAUGCAUUUGCCCAUUUUUACACACACAAAUACACAACCACAUGCAGAGAAACUUGCGUAUGGGAGACUUUGCACAGAUAACUAUUCCAGCGUAACAACACAUAGAAUGAACUGCUAUAUAUAAAGUUCUAUACUUCCUACGUCUUUUUUUCCGUUAACUUAUAGUGUGCACAUUUAUUUUAAAAAUAAGCAUGGACACAUAUAGCCUGAUAUACAUAUGUCCCUGCACUUACAGAUCUCUGUACGCAAACAAACUGUUUCUGUCGUAGCUGGGUUCAUUCUAGACCUCUACAGCAUGCUUGGUGCCACUACGCAACUCGCAUCAAUUAUUCUGCGGGAGACGCAUCUGGCAUCACCUAUGUAAAGUAAUACAUACAUACAGACACAUCAAUACACUGAACCGUCAUUUUCAAAAGGUCACAUUUGCUACAAUCUACUACAGCAAAAAAAAAGCUUCAAGAAGCAAAGUUGACAUCCUUCAAGAAGCCCAAGCACUGCGACACGAGUGCCCGUGUCAGGAUUUCCCUGGCUGUGUGUUCACUGUGCCAGCUGCUGCGCCCGCUCCCUGCCCUGGUCCCUGGGCACACUGCACUGCUGCUGCACAGCACCGCUUGGAAGUCACUGCUCAACAGUCGGGUGCACGGAGAGCCCUGCUCCAUCCAGACACCUCUGCACCGCCAUCAGCCUGAUAUCAGAAACUGUGUCAGGAAAUAGGCACCAAGGCUUUUACUUUCACAGGAGAAUGUUUUCAGCCUCUCUCUGCACCAUUACCCCUCCAGCUGACAAAAAUGACCUAAAAACCUCUAUCAAUAGAAAUAUAGCAACUAAAAGAAAUAGAAUCAAACUCGGAGGCAAAAUGUAGAAGCAGCACCCUGCGUGUCUGAAAAAGGGCUGUGGAAGAACAGAAUUUGUGUCCCAAAUUAAAUCUCUUCUACUCCUUCCUCUGCAGCACUUUCUGAACCGUUUAAAACCAGACAGCAUUUGCACGCCAUACGUGGUCCAGAAACAAAAACACCGCAACUCCUCAGAACCACCUCAUAGGUCAACGAUUGAUUUAAAAAGUAAAAAGCAGAGGAUAAAGGAAAUGUAUACAUUAAAAUGUACAUAGGUUAAUUGUGGUUCUGGGCACCAAAAAGAAUUUGAAAUCAAGUCCUUGAAACCAGUAACACUCUGUUCUCCACUGCUAUGCUGUCAGAUAUGUGAGAAUCUCAUGGAGAUAGGUGUAUUUUUUACGGCCGGGAAACAAACAGCAUUGCUGAGAAUGAGCAAGUUGUCAGACUAACCCAAUAAAAACAAAAACUACACAUAAGACUUCAGAAAAACACAAUCUGUCAAACAAUAAUUACAUAGUAUUUUUUUUUUUAAUACACAAAAUUACAUAAAUCUCAGUGAGAAACCUGGAAUGCGAUUGCUCGUGUCAGUAUGUUUUUAAGAAUGCACCAGCGGCAACAUGGAACAUCAUAUUUCUGCCUUGUUUUCACCCAAGUGCUUGCACAUUCUAAAAACGAUCAUCUCCAUAUGCAAAAUCAUAACAGGAGAACUGAACAUUUUUUUUUUUUAAAGCUGUUCUUUUGACCUUUCUCUUGAGUGAAAGGACAGCGAGACAAUACGCUCACCAGCAUUGUUCACAAUGACGGCUCCAUCACCGGAGAUUGAGGGCCGUUAUUACUAAAGGGAACUUUAAGGUGCCAGGAGAAAAAGGGGGAAAAAUUAGAAAAUAACACUUCUAAAUAUGCCAUACCUACAAGGAGCCUUUCAGGAGAGCAGACACAGAGCAACAAGAAAUCGUCAGGUAAAACCAGCUGCAGUAAAACACACACAAUCAAUUCAAAACAAAAGGUGCUAUGAUGAGAAAUUGUCUCCUGUUAUGCAGCAUACUCUAAGCUGGAGGUCCUGGACACACUUCAGUCUUUCACAAUACGGGCUUUUCUAAUUCAAGAAACAUAGGUGACCCUUAAAUACGCAGUAAAUCCAACAUCAUCUUCAGGAACAGAGAAGGAAAAUCUGGACUGAAGCAAAGGGUUCUCAUCAGUUUCUCUUACUCUACCAAGAACAAAUUAGAACAGAUUUCAUUUACCUUCUAAGCUUCCAACGGGAUGCAGUAUUUGUGAGAUGUCCUUACAGCCAUGGCAAAAAUUGUAUGAAAAUGGCUACCUAUGUCUACUCUACGUCUCUUUCCUUUCACAAACACAACAACACAGGAAUAAAUAAAACCGUGUCCAAAACCAGGACAGUCCUAUUAUCGUCAUUUUAUUGCAAUUUAAGUCCCAUCUUGAAAAAGAAAUGAGGUGAUAUUUGCCUGAAAAGGCAAAAGAGUCCUCUUUUCUUCACACACGCAUAAGUUUGUGAUUUUAUGAAUGGAUUCUGCAUUGUUCGCUAAAUAAAUCCUUACGGGGCAGGAAUAUUCUUUGUAGGGCGACUAAAGUCAGCCGAAGGGUGACUAGGUGGAGAUUUGCUGGGAUCCCACAAAAUGAACAGGACUUCUCAUCCAUUUUUUCCUCCCCCAUUCAGAAAGGGAGUGCAAGAAAAUUCCAGCUCAGCAGGGACACAGAGCCAUCGCAGGUUGUGUGAUAACAGCUUGCCACCUGCCUUUCGCAAGUUGUCUUUGCGAAGUGCAAGGGGCACUGAAUAGUAACGUUGCCUGUGGUGAUAGGAAUGCACUGAACAGCUCAGUAUGCAAAAGCACUUACUGGUACACAGUGCUCUUCACAAAGGGCAUUGCAGAAUGCUUUCCAGACUGUCAGAAGUGCUAGGAGAGGAAAUAUUAGUGCGUGUGCCGCAGGAGGAACGUAAGCACUUGCCAUCACAAUAAAAUAAGGUAUUAGCAAAUGUCGGUACAAAGCUGCUCACAGCAAAAAAAUAAAAAAUAAGGGACAAAAAGACACCUACCAAACAGCAAACUUAGCUGCAGUCAGACAAAAAGGAGCAUUUCUUUGCCAGAUCAGCAAGGGUUAACAGCAGCACACAAGCUCCCGUCCAGUCAAGAGAGGGUCAAAUGAUGUGCAGUGAAAGUUUCCUCAAUCCCCCAGAGCUUGUUUGCUAAUUACAUUUGCAAUUACAAACAUGACAAAUAUAUUAUUAUACAGUGCGUUCCACCUUGAGCAGGCACGUUCUCCUCCUGGGCAGCCACAGCCAGCAGCCACGCUCACGAGCACGGGCAGAAUGAAAGCACGCCGUGCUCCAGCUGCAAGGUGCAUUCUGUGGGCAUCGCUACUGCUCCGAGGGGACAGGGCAAGGCUGGGGAGAGGAGCACAGCAAGGAUGAAACAGACGCAGGGUACAUUACAGCAGUUUAAUUCCUGAAGAGUAAAACUUAUCAGAUCAAUAACUAUUAGCAAUAAAUAAUACUAAAUUCUGUUCCUGAUGACAGGCACCAAGCACUCUGCACAUGUAAGCUGCGUAGGGAUGACUACAUUCAGAACUCAAACGCAACCGAUACAGGGAUGGCCGAAAGAAAUCAAGGUUUCCCUAUCUCCAGCAGGGUCACCAAAAACAAGCACUGCUAAUAUUGCCUUUGUUAAGUCCAUUCACUAAACAACCAACCAUCUGAUCUGUAGGUUUCUGUUAAAGCUCCAAUCCCGCUUUCCCCCUCCAGCCCCCCAGCUUCUAUAGCAGCAGCAUUACCUAGAAAGCGCAGUGCUGGGGUCCGGACAGAUGCUACAUUUUCUUCCUCUCAGUGCACAAACUAAAAAUUCCGUACUGUUCCGGCUGUAAAGUUAACAGCAGGAGAUCCACAGAAUAAAACCAUAGGUGUUACUGGGAAGAAUUGCCCAGUCUCCACAGUCUGCAGCAGAGCUACUGCCUCGAAACACUGGCUGCUGCUACGAACCUCAAUUCUCAGCCCAAGGAGCAGGAAUUAGAAGGAAAAGCUGGGGAUAGCAUUUUGGCUUUUAUACCCAAGCUGUGCCAGCAUCUGUUUCUACUUUUACUAUUUCUUCCUCUAAAAUUCUCUUUGUUAUUUCAAACUCCAAAGAAAUUCUACCGCGCUCAGAACAAAAACUGUGAAGUCCACCGGUCUCAGGAUGAAGUCUUUUCCUGUCUCCCUUCUUCGAGUCCGUAAAAGCACUCGUGUCCUUUGAGCCCCGGCAGAUUUGGGAAAGAGACUCAUGGACACAAUGCACAGAACUUCUUGUUGAGCUGUUGUUACUGGGAAAAUACAGGAUAUUUCAAAUGACAAGAAAUUCUGAGCGGUGGUAACAGAGCCGAGAUGGGGCUGGGGAACAGCGGCAAGAAGGGCACGGGGGAUACAGCAGCGAUCCCUUGGAAAGGGAGAAAACGGGAUGUGAAAUCUCUGUCACAGCAACUUUCUCUGAUGCAAUCUCUCCAAAGUCUUUCCCCUCUCAGGCUAAAUGCAAUAUUUAUUGAUUACUUCAAAUCAAUACAAUGAAAAAAAAAAUCCUACUUUUUAAAAUAUAUUGAUCUUUCCAUAUUUCUCAAUAAUUGAUAAUGAUUAGACCAUCUUUACUUUCACAAGUGGAAUUGGAAAAGGAGGGAAAAGUUAAUACAAAUGUCGUCAAGGUACCAAUUUCCUCAUCAGCCUCGUGCUCAAUAGGCACAGUACACCAAGACCCUGUUCUGCAGGAACCCAGCAACCAGGCUGCUUCCCUUACAGAGGUUUUGCAGUUUAUUCUGUCAGUAAAGCACACAACUCCCUCCCCACGCUCCCCAGUUAACAACUCCUCCCUGCCCCAGACUUUCAGAGACACUCAGACCAGACCGCUGCAUUCAGCUUCUCUGACUCAGAUUUCCUCCCAUUCACAGAAUACGGACAUUUCCAGUAACCUCUCAAAUUAAGUCACAUUUCCUCAGUCUGUGCAUUACAGUCAGUGACAACAACUUUGUCAAUUCCCUGCUACAGGAUCCAGAAUUUGCCGUUUCAUUGACUUAAAAUUCCAAUGUUAUACCUUCCCGUCCCUCUAUCAAACGUAUCAGAUAUUCCUUUCAGCUUUUCCUUUCUGUCCAUAAAAUAAUUUUCAUUUUUAUCGGAUCAGUGACUCAUGUGUCUUUCUUGUACAUCAGAGGAAACAGUGUAAGAGACAUAGCAUCUGGCAGCAUGCCCUUAUUUGCCAAUGAUUUUUAUUUUCCCUUCAUUAUGGUUACUUGGUCAGUUUCUGUCUGUCAUGGAGAAUAUUAAUUAGAAACAGAGAUGGCAAUUUUGCAGUCCUGUCAGUAAUUCUUGUGGCAGCUAUAGCUAGGCAGAAAAAAAUCUCUGGGACAUGGAAGUUAAUACAUAGAAGUAAAGCUGUCCCCUUUGAAACAGCCUUAGGUUUGCAUAUAAGAGAUACACGAUGCUGAUAUUCAGUGUACCGUACCUACGUACGUGCAUAUAACUCCAUAUACAUAUUUAUAUACGCACACACGUUUGUGUGAAUAUCAUCACCUAUUUUGUCUGUCUGGGUGCUGCUCCCGGUGCCUGUAAGCGCGCUCCCUUCCCGCUGUACUGCAGACAGACACUGUCAGUACAGUGUAACUAAUGUAUUCUCGCCAUACGCCUCACCUGACAGACAAACUGCAGGUACAAAUCACUGCCUUUGUUAGCUUCACAACUGGAAGUCACGCAAAAGGUUCUCCCUCGGUGCUGUAUCACCAACCCCAGGAAUAAUUCUCCCAAAGGUCAGUACCAGAAGGCAGAAAGCAGUCACCAAAGCGCGGAUUCCUGUACAAGGAACCAAACACGUACACUGCCAUAGGAUGCACAGGGUCAAAAACAGAGGGUCAGUAUCAGGAAUCAGUAUUUCCUUACUCUCACUGCAAGACCCUGUGCUGAGGGAAAGCACUCAGCCCACCAAACGGAACAUCCUGGGUUCCCGGUGCGAUCGCUCAGACCUGCACACAUGGGCAGAGGAAAGGGAACUUUCACUGCUUCAGGAAGACAAAUCCAAAACCUUAAGAGUGUGAUGAGGGGUAAUGAAUUCCAUUCUCUUGUUCAUUUUUGUUCACUUUUGAGUGCAUUACAAAUAUUAAGCUCCCCUUAAACUCCAAGGUGAAGGGAGUCACCUUUCCUCUCCUUUGCCUUGGUCAUCGUCUCCCUCCGUAGUUGCAAGGUGAAAUACAGUUUCCAGGUAACUGUAUGGAUCCCCUAUUGAGUGACUACAGCUCCUUCUCCAGCCACAUUCUAUCCUUCCUCACAUUUUCUCCUAUAGCUUAGCAGGCAACAAAACAAGAGGAGGCAGCCUGCAGUAUUUUAAAAUUCACUCUUAAAUUAAGGUUUAAUUUGACAACAAAUGCUGCCCACAUAAUUAAAAGCAUUUUUUUAAAGGAAAAUAACUAUGGAAAUCUUUUUCAGUGGUUAACAGUCAGAAAGAAGGCUCACUCAGAACAAAAAGGACGAUAUGCUCACACAACCAGCUAGUAAUACAAGCACAAUGACAAUACCUGUAUUUACCCAAUACGUUCAUAAAUAAUUGCGUUACAAUGGAAAAAGAAGCGGCUCAAGAAGUAUGUAUUGGGUCAACUCUUAUCCUCAGCUACAAGAACGCAAGCCAAAAUCUAACCCUAACAACACCAGAACGUAAACCCAAGCAAUAACCGACACACUGCACACACUUUAAUUUUUCCAUGGUUUAGGGCUUCUCGCACCUUUUCCUUCUCUCACCAACUUUUCCCAGACUUAGCCAUACUUCCCCACUUCAUCACUGCACUCCUUUAAUUAAACAAACAAACAACAAAAUUGAUUGAGAUAUUUAAAAUGGUAUUUCUUGGUCGCCCUCCCCGGACCUCAUCAGUGUUCGGAUGGCAGCUAGCUGGCACGCACAGACACAUCAAGCACUCCUCUCAACCAAGCACGACGACAUUUCUCAUCACAAAGAGCAGAUCUGCCGACUGCAAAGCCGUGGGGGCUCAGCGGCACUUCCCCAGGGCCGCCUUCACCUGCAUGCUGGGUGGCCAAAGGGUUGGGAACGCAGGAGGGCACCGUUCCUGAGCUGGGAGCUGCCCGAGAGCCCCUGGUGACAUAGCACAGGGACAGCAAUCCAACGUGCAGAUCCCUUCUUACUGCUUUCACGCUGCUGGAGUUUCUUUUCUCAAUUCCAAAAGUAGAACAAAUAAAAGGAAAAAAGUUAAGAGACACUGUAGCAAGAGAUAAUGAUAUACCUUUUGACCGUGGCAUUUUAUUCUGUUGUUUUGUGUUUGUUUGUAUGAUUUUAAUGAAGGUAAAUGCACUUCGUAUUUUUGCCUUAACAUCAGAAGACUCCCAGAAGCACAGAGAACACAUUUCCCUCAAGAAACUGUUUGUUUAUUUCUAAUUCAGAACGGAGCAGCCAAAGUGAAGCGGUGGGGAAAAGAAAAAUCACACGGGUUGGACUAUUAAUUUCUAUCAACAAUUCGAAGUCACAUUUUAAUGAAACUGCUGGAAGUGGGGGAUUAAAGUAGGGAGAAAUGAGCGUAAGGACACACAAUAUCAGCAAGCGAGACAGACAGAUGGAUAAAGGACAGCUGUAAUGAGGAAAGAGAGGUCAGCAUCACCGUGGGCUUGGUUGGUUUUAAGUGUUUUAAUUUUAAUAAUAGAAUGUGUUCUUAAAACAAACACCAUAAAGGCGGCAAAUGACCUCACUCCUAGCCCCUACCCCCUCCCGAUGACACCACAGAACCCGUGUAGGUGACACACAGAUUAACAUGAAAACACAAAAGGGGACUCCGCUCGGGGAGAUUUAUCGGAGGGGAGACACGCACAUGGAACUGAAUGACUCCGCUGAGCUGGAUGCAAACGCUGAGAAGAUUGUGCCUUGUUUCCUAACUUCCCCGAAAGGAUCAAACCAAACUUAACACGUUAACGUGGCUCUGAACGCAGCGUUAUCGGGCACCGCUCCGCGCAGGAUACAAAGAGCAGCGGCAGGUGCUGAGGUGGCUGCCAGCGGUCCCGGCUCGGGAUGCUGCCGCCAGCCCCGCCGCUCCGCUCUGCCCCGGGCAGGCACCCCGCAGAGCGAACUCCUUUUCCGAAGGAGAUUUCGGGUCAAAAUACGAGUUUUGUUGCAACAAUAACAACAACAACAGAAAAAAAAAAUUCGCGACAGUAUUUUUA